rnacentral:rRNA from 1 species
UAGGGAAUCUUCGGCAAUGGGGGGAACCCUGACCGAGCAACGCCGCGUGAGUGAAGAAGGUUUUCGGAUCGUAAAGCUCUGUUGUUAAGGAAGAACGAGUGUGAGAAUGGAAAGUUCAUGCUGUGACGGUACUUAACCAGAAAGGGACGGCUAACUACGUGCCAGCAGCCGCGGUAAUACGUAGGUCCCGAGCGUUGUCCGGAUUUAUUGGGCGUAAAGCGAGCGCAGGCGGUUAGAAAAGUCUGAAGUGAAAGGCAGUGGCUCAACCAUUGUAGGCUUUGGAAACUGUUUAACUUGAGUGCAGAAGGGGAGAGUGGAAUUCCAUGUGUAGCGGUGAAAUGCGUAGAUAUAUGGAGGAACACCGGUGGCGAAUGCGGCUCUCUGGUCUGUAACUGACGCUGAGGCUCGAAAGCGUGGGGAGCGAACAGG